GACGAACGCUGGCGGCGUGCUUAACACAUGCAAGUCGAACGGUGAAGCGAGUGCUUGCACUCGUGGAUCAGUGGCGAACGGGUGAGUAACACGUGAGUAACCUGCCCAUCACUCUGGGAUAAGCACUGGAAACGGUGUCUAAUACUGGAUACGACCAACCCUUGCAUGGGGUGUUGGUGGAAAGAUUUAUCGGUGAUGGAUGGACUCGCGGCCUAUCAGCUUGUUGGCGGGGUAAUGGCCCACCAAGGCGACGACGGGUAGCCGGCCUGCGAGGGUGACCGGCCACACUGGGACUGAGACACGGCCCAGACUCCUACGGGAGGCAGCAGUGGGGAAUAUUGCACAAUGGGCGAAAGCCUGAUGCAGCGACGCCGCGUGAGGGAUGACGGCCUUCGGGUUGUAAACCUCUUUCAGCAGGGAAGAAGCGAAAGUGACGGUACCUGCAGAAGAAGCACCGGCUAACUACGUG
rnacentral:rRNA from 1 species